rnacentral:misc_RNA from 1 species
GAAAAAAAAAAGAUGGAAAACACAUAAAGCACUGUUAGAUAUACAAACCAAACUCAAUUAGAAUUAGAAUUUAGAUAUAGAUUUUUCACUUAAUUAGGAGUUGGUUUUCCUAUUUAUAAUUAGCAUUUGUAUGGUGUGCCAACAUACAGAGGUCCCUGGACAUUAUUGUGAAGAGUGAGUUAAAACGAGAGCAAGAGAGAGUUAAAAAGAGAGCAAGAGAGAGGGGGAAGAUAUCUCCAUCAAAACUGAUGUGGUGUGUGUGCCUUGUUCAAGAAAAAGGCCAAAUUACUGCAUGCCGUGUAACACUCAAAACCUAGCCAAGCCAAAAAUAUUUGUGAGCUCUGUGCAGUGCGCAAUGCAUAAUUGCAAAAGGCCAAUAUUAUGGCAAGUUCUCAAAUGAGAGCCAUUGAAGUUCUGCUGGUUUGUAAAGUGUGGUUAUACUGCAUGUCUGUAUAAUGUGAAUGCUCAAAUGAGAGUUGUUUUUUUGCCACAGUCCAGAUUGUUCACAAAAAGUCUGCAACAAUGUUCUCAAGGUUCUUUGGUAUUUUUAAAUUUUAAUGCUAACAAGUGAUUCAAAAUGAUAUUUAAUGCUGACAAGCACUUAUAAUUCUGCCGGUGGUUGUUUUAGUGAGAGUUCUUUAGCAUAUGGGCACAGAACGGCAUGGUAGUCUGUUUUAGCGAAGCCUUUAAUUUUCUCUUCCUCUGUUUUAAGAACAAUGCAUUAUGCUUCUUUUUGUACUAUUCAUUUUUGGUUGUGAGUAUAAAAAAAGGAAUUAGAAAUUAAGGUAUGUUCUUUGUAAGAAGAAAAUGAAAACAUAAGAUUUUUUUUUUCAAGUUAAAUUUACAUAAAGAAUAAAGUUAAUCAGCCAUGGGUGAAUAGUACAAUUACCAUGGGCAAGACAAAAUUAAAUGCACAAGAAACAGAUUAAUAUCGUUU